rnacentral:rRNA from 1 species
CCUACGGGUGGCAGCAGUGAGGAAUAUUGGUCAAUGGACGCAAGUCUGAACCAGCCAUGCCGCGUGCAGGACGACGGUUCUAUGAGUUGUAAACUUCUUUUGUACGAGGGCAAACUCAGAUACGCGAACCUGACUGAAAGUAUCGGACGAACAAGGAUCGGCUAACUCCGUGCCAGCAGCCGCGGUAAUACGGAGGAUUCAAGCGUUAUCCGGAUUGAUUGGGUUUAAAGGGAGCGUAGGCAGCCUGUUAAGCGUGCUGUGAAAUGCCGGGGCUCAACCCGGGCCGUGCAGCGGGAACUGGCGUGCUUGAGAGCGCGGGAGGCAGGCGGAAUUCGUAGUGUAGCGGUGAAAUGCGUAGAUAUGGCGAAGAACCCCGAUUGCGAAGGCAGCUUGCUGGAGCGGAACUGACGCUGAUGCACGAAAGCGAGGGUAUCGAACAGGAUUAGAUACCCCGGUAGUC